CAUGACCCUCCAUUAAGAAAGAGGGACGCUGGAAGACUUGGAACCAUCUGCCAGUUCUUUCAUUAGUAAGGAAUGGAAGAUAAAUUUCCUAGUGUCAUGCAUCAAACUGAUCACCAAAGCUGGCUGUAUCACCUGGCCAGGUAUUAUUUGCAUUAAUAGGAGAACAGCUAAGCAUUGAAAAGAGGCUUUAUUUUAUUCCUAUGGUGAUUUGAACCUCCCUCACAGGAAAGCUUGGUGUGGUGCUCAAAUUUUAGAAAGUAUUUCAUAUUUCUUAGAGAAACAAGCCGUGCUCAUUUUUUGUUUGUUUGUUUUUUGUUUUUUAAAAGGGCAGGGGGACUACAAUGCCAGGAGCCAGAGAGCUUGUCAGAGAACAGCCUGGCCAGGCAUGGUGCUCCAUCUGAGUGCCGAGUCAGAGCAUGCCCAGCCUUUGGCAUUUUCCUAUGAUCAUGGACAGCAUCAAUCUUACAGCCUGGAAUGGAAACAGGAUAAAAAGCAAGAAGGCACUGUACCUUUCCCCCACUGGCAGACAGAGAAACUCUAACUCUCCCGCCCUAUUUUCAUCCAUUUAAAUUCAUUUCCUUUCUCUCAGGUUUUCUGUAUCUUGGUUUGGAAUGAAUCUGGUACACGGCUCCUGAGUCAAGAGGUCAAGAAGACACGUGGUUUUAUGAUGCAACAAUGGGCAGCCACUCUGUUUUGUUUUGGGAACCUCAGUGACAUCACAGACUAACCCUUGUACCUUGGGACCUUGUAUGUAAGAAAACAUUGAGUCAGAAGAGAGCGUUAGUCAUAGGGCUACUGAAACACAAGGUGACGAGAACUAUUAGGCAAUUGAGUGCAUUCCCUGCAGGGCUGCUCCCACUUCUAUCUGACUUGGGUCUAGAUGACUCAAGUGAUUCCCGAGGGGAAAAUAAUCUAUGUGGAACAGCUGUCAUGAGCAGGCCUUCUGCUGCUCUUCAGCCUCAAUUUCAGCCUGCUACUUCCCGUGACAUCAUUCAGUGAUUCCUCCCUUUAAGGGGACAGUUUUCUCUUGUAUUACAGGUGACUACUUGAAGGUGGCUAGACGAGAGCAUACUGCCACCACUCUUUAUUUGGAGGCCUGUAACCUGUCUUGAGUGUGUUGCAGGAAGACUCAGUUACAGUGUUCCCUGAAUAUGUAGCUUUCCAUUACAAUAGUAUGCAAGCCAAGAUGAAACCACCUCUGUUUGGGUUUCAGCAGCUGUCUGCCUACGGAAGGCUCCAGAGUCCCUGACGCAUAUUUAUAUCUCCACUUCACUGAAGUCACAAGGAACAAACACACACCUGCCAUUUCCCAAAUCUCAUAAAACAUAUAAAUGGAUGAGACCAAAGAGAGGCAUGAGAUUCCAUUCUUAUGAAGGAGACAGACAGGAAAGAGGGCAAGGGAUCCUACUAAUGCAACACAGAGCUCACAAAUGCAUCCUUCCCUCGAGGCCAGAGUGGCAACAGACCAUAGAGCCACCCUUCAACUGAAGCAAGAUGCCCUUCAACUGAAGCAAGAUGCAUGGAGACUGUUUCCACUUAGGAGUCAGAUAAAAGGCCAGAGGAACCCACAUGGCUGUGCAUAAAGGCUCCAGUUGAUAAAUGGAUAAGCAACAGUGGAAACACAGGUUCACAGGAAGCACCUGGCACACAGUAACUAUUAUUAAUUUCUGCACUGGAGGCAUCAGGAAAGCCUUCACGCUAUAGGGGGCCCUUUUAAGUUAAGAAGUUGGAGAGCAAGCCUCGGGGAAAGCAAAGAGAUAACUUAGUAGAAUGGAGCAACCAUACGGGAACAGUGAGAGUCCAUGGAUCUCCCUGGGCUAAGAUCAUGUAUGGAUUUGGCAAUCUGGGGUGGAAGCCACAUGUGCUGUUAUUAAGUGGAAAUGUCUCGUGAACAUGUGGAAAGUGAUGACUGGAACUUCAGAUGAAAGUCAAAGCUGGAGAUAGGAGAUUCAGAAGUCACCCCACCAAAGAAGGAAUGGUUAAAGCUAUAAGAACUAAUGAGAUCCUAUUUAUUUGCUUAUUCAAUCAACAUAUGUAGAACUAAAUGCUAAGAAUGUAAUGAUAAAUAAGACAGAAAGGGACCUUGCCCAUAUGGUAUUUACAAUCUACUGCCAGUUCAUAAUCUCCUAAAAAAUAAUGUAGAGAACAAUAACAGAAUCAAAGAAAUCUUGAACGUCUAUAUUUAAGGGGUUGAAUGUAAAAGAAAAGGCCUUAAAGGAGGCAGAAAAAUAGCAAUGAGAAAAGUUUGGGAAUUCUAAAACAAGACAGUAUUUCAGAGGAAGAAAACGCAGGUAAUACAUGGGCAAGUUUCACACACAGAGGUGAUGCAUCCUGGUGACCAAUAUUACAAGGAAGAGAGAUGAUGACUGAGGACAGGCUGGUGGACUUGAUUUGAGGUCAACGGUAUGAGGAUAAUUUCAGCAGAGUGGUGGGAUGGAGCGAAACAGCAGGUGUGUCAAUAAUGAGUUAAGCUUUGAGAAAGGGGAGACUUCAGAUGCAGACAACUCAUUCCUGAAUCUGUGCUUCAAAAACAAGAAAAAGCCCAAGAUGUCAGGAUAUCUGCAGGGUCAAGCAAAGCAUUUUUUUCACGAUGGUAAUAGGUAAAAGAGAUUUCUCUAGCCCGCUGGUCUAAGGAUCAGACAGAGGGUGGAGGUGCUUGAUAAGGAUGGUCAUGGCAUUUUUUGCAGACUGAAAUGAUAUUUGAAAACUAAAUGCUAGCCUGUGUUACAGCUACUUACCCGCUGAGGAUCAAACGUACAUUUAUUUGCCCUAUUGCCCAACUUAUGGCUAUGCCAGUAAUGUCCUCUUUUUUUCCUUAUCAUUUCUUUUCAGCUUGUUUUCCCAAACUGUGGUGUUGCCUUGCCCUUGAGAACCCAGCUGAGGUCUAGACUGUUUCAUGGAUCACCUAAGCUUGGAGCUACAGUUGGGCUGCAAAGUUGUUCCUCUAGUGCUGAUACAAGAACAUAGCUGGUCCUCUUGUUCAUAGUGGUAAAAUAUUUUUAAAAUCUGACAUAAACACAACAUAUUAAUUACAGAAAUGAUGGAGAGAGAAUAAAGCUGGGACCCCACAAAGUCAUCUUUGCAGAGUUAUUCUGCUGACUCAAACCACACUUUAACUGAUGACAUCCUAGCAUCGAUCUGAAGUACAUUACUUUAAAAACAGAAGCUGUUUCUGAAAUAAGAUCUGCUAAAGUAAGAAGCCAGCUAGAAAAACACAGAUUUUAAGUCACUGAGGUUAUUGGUUCGAAACAGUUUACUUGGCACAUACAGAUCUUUGAGUUUUUCUAAAACUCUUUCCUGAUUUUUGGCAUUUAUUUGGCUUGGAAGGUUCUGGCGAGGCAAAUGAGAAAGGUGAGCAGAAAGGACUGGUGCAAUCAAUCAUCCUAUACCAGGCACACCCAGUGAUAUUAAAAGCUCAAUGACAUGGGACCUCACCAAUGUCUCACUAACUUAAGAGCGUUUGGGAGGCCUGGGCAAUUGUUGGCUGCGGCACAAGCUCUCUCAGCAGGCAUCGACAGCACAAACUACCAGGCGGACUACUGCCUUUCCUUCUGGACUGCACACAUUGAAAUGUCAAUGAAAUUGAAUGAAAUACCUGCUGACAGCGUUUACUGUUCAGACUUAUUGCUGCAAUAAUACUAGGGAUAGGGUGGGGGUAAGAAGUUACCGAAUUUGAGCAAAAACAAACCUGGUUUUACACUCACAGUUGUAGCUGUUCCAGCUACACUGAAUGUGCAUGUGAAAUCAGAAGAGAUCAUGUGAUGAACAUUCCAUUCUUGGCAAUAUAAUAUUUCCAAAAAAUGCAACUUAAAAGAACUGCUAUCUUGAAAGAGCUUCUAUCUCAGGUGCUAGCACCAGAAACAAAUGCCCUUCAUCCUCUGAAAGCAUAUGAGAACACAUUCCGCCAUACCUCACCUCCAGCUGAGCCCAGUCACUAGCAGAAGUGCAAGCCUCUCCAGCCAUCUGUUAAUACCAGAACACUCAUUCCCAAACUGUUCCUGGACAUAAUCUGAUCAGACACAAUCCCCCGGAACUCUUUCCCUCCUGCACCCUUCCACUGUGUCCUCUGGAUUUCCCAUUCAAAGAUGAGCAAACUCACCUAUAUCUUCAGUCUCAAUGAGCUCUGAAGGUUCUCUCUGCUUCCUCAUCCUAAUUGAAAUCUGGCUAUCUCUGGAAGACUGCAAAUUCCCUGAAACCCUCUCAGGUGGAAGGUGAUCAUGGCUCUCCAUCCAGUGGCUCACAGAGCCAGGUGAUAGAGUAUUCUCCUUACUCCUCAAUAACACUUUCAAAUCAUUAUUCUGAAGCAGAGAAUAAAAAUCCCUGUUCCUCUGAGCUCAUGCCAUUGAAUCAUCCCUUUUUCUCC
rnacentral:lncRNA from 1 species